ensembl:lncRNA
CUUGCCCAUCAGAGGUGGACCCACUCACCUGCCUGCUGAGGAUCCAGGCACCCAGCCUAUGUAGGCCCACAAGUUGCCUGAGGGCUUGCUGUUGGGUGAGCCCAAUCCCUGUGGCAGCUGCCUGUUCUAGCUGAGCUGGAUUAGAUCAAAGCUUUAGUGAGUGGGGCAGACCCUGGGCUAACAGGCCAGGGGAAAAACUCCAAUUGUUUCUGUCAGUAUCUAUGUCAGCAUGCUUGUAGCAUGUCACAGUAAUGACUGCUGCCAAUGUCUCAGUCCCUGGAGAGGUCUCACCUCUCACCAAGAUGCACCCAGAGCCUAUCAGCAUUGGCUGCUCUGGAUGGUUCUUCAUCAAGAAUGUUAAAUUCCUGGAACCAAUGACUCACAUCUUAUAUUUCUGUGCAUCGUGAUCAGCUCCUUGAACCCAGCUUUCUCCAUCUCAGAAGGUCAAGGGAUUAACUUCAGCACCUUAAAGGGGACUCGUCACCUGGAUUGAGGUACUAAAAGGACUUUUCUUCCAAUGCAGAAUCCUUCAAGCUGACAGGCAGACUGCCACACGCAGCACCUCAUUUGGACAUGUCUGGAGCUUUGGAAGUUUGGCUACCCUAUGCUCUACAAAUGGACCUUGAGAACUUAUUUGGACAUUCUAGCAAGAGAGAGCUCAGCUACUCAUAUACCCUACACUGAAGAAUGGUCCUCCUCUAUUGGGGAAAGUUGUCCUCUGAUGGAGUAUGCAGCUUCAGGAGGGACACCCAUGGAGUGUUGAGGGAGGAGGGGGACACCUCCCUCGCCAACCAGAUCAGCCAAGGCAACCCUGACAAUCAAUGGGGUGACAGAUGUCUCAGCCAGAUUGUCCUCACAUCCUCUUUUUAUUCUUAAAUUGCCUCUAACUGCAAUGCUUUUGAUCCUGGAAAUGGAUUAUGUACUAUGAAAGCCAUGAGAAGAUGCUGAAACAGAGAGGAAUUUGGUUUGCUGUUUGCUUAUUUUUUCCCCCAACAAAAAGCCCAGCUUUCCAGAAGGUCUUUAGAAAAUCAGUUUUUGUUUUAUUCCCCAUGACAAUCUUCUAAAAAGUCUUUUUAAAUCAAAGGAAAUAAAAGUGAGAGAAACCAAAGAAAAUAGGAAUUGUAAAUAAGAUGCUACUGCCUAAUAACCAAAUAGUAAAUAACGUUACAACACAGAAGAUUAAGGAGGUAAGAGCAGGAAUGUUUCCAAGUGUAGCUGAGUGGAGCCCACAGCGUGACCAACUUACUGACACACUUGUUUGCUCUGAGAAAACAAUUCACAGCACCACAAUUUGAAGUCGUACUAAAGAUGUAAAGGUAAAAACGACAGUCUCGGGGGCAUUAACUCUACGUGGACGUGUCUUUUCUUGGACUGAAACAUUUUUUUCAGUUUCUGGGUUUUGAUACAUGCAACAGAAAAACUGGAAAUUUGAUACAGAUUUGUUUCUUUCCAAGGGCAUUGUGUUAAUUAAAAUGCCAAUGCAGACGUCCAAUUUCUGCUCAGAGAUGUAGAGAGCAUGAAAGAGAGUCGUUCCCACACUUACAAUAAGAAAAUAGCAAGGCAAACUACAAAUUAAUGACUUAUAUUGGACCCAUUAGAGAACUGAGGUUGCAAGACAAACAAU